rnacentral:tRNA from 1 species
GCCGAGGUGGCGGAACAGGCAGACGCGCCAGACUCAAAAUCUGGUGGGGGAAACCCCGUGUGGGUUCGAGUCCCACUCUCGGCA